rnacentral:rRNA from 1 species
GAUGGCGACCGGCGCACGGGUGAGUAACACGUAUCCAACCUGCCGUCUACUCUUGGACAGCCUUCUGAAAGGAAGAUUAAUACAAGAUGGCAUCAUGAGUUCACAUGUUCACAUGAUUAAAGGUAUUCCGGUAGACGAUGGGGAUGCGUUCCAUUAGAUAGUAGGCGGGGUAACGGCCCACCUAGUCUUCGAUGGAUAGGGGUUCUGAGAGGAAGGUCCCCCACAUUGGAACUGAGACACGGUCCAAACUCCUACGGGAGGCAGCAGUGAGGAAUAUUGGUCAAUGGGCGAGAGCCUGAACCAGCCAAGUAGCGUGAAGGAUGACUGCCCUAUGGGUUGUAAACUUCUUUUAUAAAGGAAUAAAGUCGGGUAUGGAUACCCGUUUGCAUGUACUUUAUGAAUAAGGAUCGGCUAACUCCGUGCCAGCAGCCGCGGUAAUACGGAGGAUCCGAGCGUUAUCCGGAUUUAUUGGGUUUAAAGGGAGCGUAGAUGGAUGUUUAAGUCAGUUGUGAAAGUUUGCGGCUCAACCGUAAAAUUGCAGUUGAUACUGGAUAUCUUGAGUGCAGUUGAGGCAGGCGGAAUUCGUGGUGUAGCGGUGAAAUGCUUAGAUAUCACGAAGAACUCCGAUUGCGAAGGCAGCCUGCUAAGCUGCAACUGACAUUGAGGCUCGAA